AAAUGCGAUAAGUAAUGUGAAUUGCAGAAUUCAGUGAAUCACCGAAUCUUUGAACGCACCUUGCGCUCCUUGGUAUUCCUUGGAGCAUGCCUGUUUGAGUAUCAUGAAAUCUUCAAAGUAAAUCUUUUGUUAACUCAAUUGGUUUCUACUUUGGUAUUGGAGGUCUUUGCAGCUUCACACCUGCUCCUCUUUGUUCAUUAGCUGGAUCUCAGUGUUAUGCUUGGUUCCACUCGGCGUGAUAAGUUAUCUAUCGCUGAGGACACUGUAAAAGGUGGCCAAGGUAAAUGCAGAUGAACCGCUUCUAAUAGUCCAUUGACUUGGACAAUACUUUUAUGAUCUGAUCUCAAAUCAGGUAGGACUACCCGCUGAACUUAAGC
rnacentral:misc_RNA from 1 species